UACGUAGGGGGCAAGCGUUGUCCGGAUUUAUUGGGCGCAAAGAGCGUGUAGGCGGUUUGGUAGGUCCGCUGUGAAAACUCGAGCUCAACCUCGAGACGCCGGUGGAAACCAUCAGACUAGAGUCCGGAAGAGGAGAGUGGAAUUCCUGGUGUAGCGGUGAAAUGCGCAGAUAUCAGGAAGAACACCCGUGGCUAAGGCGGCUCUCUAGUACGGUACUGACGCUGAGACGCGAAAGCGUGGGGAGCGAACAGG
rnacentral:rRNA from 1 species